UUAUAAUGUGUCAUACACGUCAACGAGAUCCACACUGCGCGAAAAAGUAUUUAAUCCCCGGCGAUCGUCAGCGCCAGCCACGCGCCGUCCGUACGGACUGCAUAGGCCACAAGUAUUCUGCACUCAAAGUAUGAAAAUCUCGGUUAAAU